rnacentral:ncRNA from 1 species
AGAAAUGCAUAGAUGAGGAAUAGUACACAUUGAGCGGAGCACAGAGAGCUGCUGGCCGGUGAGAAGCAGUGGAAGGGAUUUGUGGAACUCGCCUCGGAGCAUCUGCCCGAAAUCCUAUAAGAGAGUAGGCGCAGACGGUGUCCGCCGUUACCCGGAGAGGAUAUAAGGAUGUUUUUACAUUCCGUAUCUGUCAAGUGUGUGAUUUUUUAUUCAUGAAAUAAGAGUGGUACCGCGUAGGACAGCAGUUGUCUUUCGUCUCUUGC